rnacentral:rRNA from 1 species
CGGAGGGGGCUAGCGUUGUUCGGAAUUACUGGGCGUAAAGCGCACGUAGGCGGCUUUGCAAGUUAGAGGUGAAAGCCCGGGGCUCAACUCCGGAAUUGCCUUUAAAACUGCAUCGCUAGAAUUGUGGAGAGGUAAGUGGAAUUCCGAGUGUAGAGGUGAAAUUCGUAGAUAUUCGGAAGAACACCAGUGGCGAAGGCGACUUACUGGACACAUAUUGACGCUGAGGUGCGAAAGCGUGGGGAGCAAACAGG